rnacentral:tRNA from 1 species
UGGCUCAGCUGGUAAAGAGUCUGCCUGCAAUGCAGGAGACCCAGGUUCAACCCCUGG